AGGGCCGGUGCGUGAUGCGUCAUAACAUCCCACGCCAUUGGCCUCGUAUAUGGCACGCCCCCACAACAAAGCUAAGAGAUCGCCCCUUAAGCUGUUGUCUCAGUUGUAGCAAAGAGUAGAUCCUCCACUGCUUUUUGACCAUUUUGAGGACGGUAAAAAGCAUGAUAAAAGAAAGAACACUCGCUUCCAUGUUGCUUUGUUUACCACCAAGAAAUCUGUCGCACUAUCUAUGCAAUCACAGCGUGGUGACGUACCCAGACGCAAAGUGGUGGUGGGGGGUGGCGGGGGCGCAGAAUUGCCUUCUGUUGGUCAAUGCAAAAGGAACAAUAUGCCAAUUGAUUUUAUUUUAUUACCGAUUCGUCGUACUGUUUAUUGUGUAUGUUAAAUCGCUCCAUGUACAGCACUUUGUAUGCAGCGAUGGCUGUUUGAAAGUGCUCUAUAAAUACUGUUGACUUGACAAUUGGUUGUGUGUCGCCACGAGUGGCGGGCCGUGCAUUUCAACCUUAGGCCUUCAAUGAUUCAACAUACAUUAAAACAAUACAGUAUAGGCUAGUCAAGCAGCACUUAAUUUCAGGAGCAGUUAAAACCAUCAAGUAUGCAUUCACUAUUAAGAGCAGGAAACUAAAUGUAUAGAUAUUGCCAAAAAAAAAAAGAUGAUUUAAAAAUACUAAAUAAAAUGCCACCCAAAUUACGCUGUGUGAUCUUAAACAAGUCUGUCCAAUAAAUUGCGCAAUGUCGCAGUUUCAUAUAAGACACCAACCAAAUAAUAACAAACUAUUCUUUGAAAAUAAAGUUAACGGAUCAUUUGCAUUUUGAAAAUCAGUGAUACAAGAGCAAAUCACUGAAAAUGUUGAGCAGUUGAGAUUGAAUUAAUUUUCGUGCACGAAGGUGACUACAAUUCGCCAUUAUAAAUUGCAGGUGAGCAGAUUUAUUUGAUACAUUUUUGUAUCUUUGUCAUUUUAUUUCGUUACCAUUAAUUUAACACUAACGAAAUAAAAUGACAAGAAAUGUAAAAUAAAAUUCAUUUACUCACCAAUGUAGUGCCUAUUCACUGAGCUGCACAUCUACGCGAGUGUCCCCAAACGUUUUUAAACGCACCGUAGUUUGUAAGUGCCCAGCUGUGCUCUGAUGUUUCCUUGCUGCCUUGGUAAAACAACUUGAAUGGGUAAAUCCAGUGUGGCUCCAAACACCAAAUCGGUCUGUUGCAACCAAUAGGCAUUCCCACUAGUACAAUUUGCAGCAUUUCUCAGAGGCUGUGAGCCAUGGGUACCGUUCAUAAUUGCUCGUCUGAAAAUGACGGACAACCCCUUUUCCGUGCUGGGAAAGGCUAGCCAGCGCAGGAGUUAGGUGACCUCUUCACACAAUAUCCAGCUUUUCUUGGAAGGUCCGUCUUGAAAAUUGUGUGCAAAGUAGUUCUGCAACCAGAUCAACGUCUUCUUCUUAGCAGGCGCUAAUCCAAUCACCGAACGCGCACGUCCAGUCUCGACUAAGGCAUUCUCGCUGGCCCCGGUGCGCAGACUCGUGAUCUGGUUGGCUAUUGCAACCUGACUGUGCCCGUUCAUUUACAGCGCACAGGGGCCUGCUCUGCUUAAUCUGAAGGCCGGAGCAAGUUUAAUUUACCUGGCAACACAAGCUAACUGAAAUAUGAUUGGUUAAAAUCUCAACCAUAAUAAGUUAUUUAUCGAGUGGCUUUCAGUGUUAUUUAAAUAACAUUGAAAGCCACUUGACUAAGUGGAAAUAAUAUAUAAUAAUAAUACAUCACAUUUGUAAGCGCCUUACACAACACUCAAGGACACUGUACAGCCAAGACCAAUAGUAAAACACAGAUAAAAUAAUAAAUAAAGAAAGAUUUAAGGCGGGUAGGCAAGUCUGAAUAGGUGGGUUUUGAGCUGGGUUUUGAAUAAAGAAAGAGAGUCAAUAUUACGAAUGUUGGGAGGAAGUGAGUUCCAGAGUUUGGUAAAACUCUGUAAAACAGUAAAACAAUCGAGCGUAAAAACACCGUAAAACACAAAAGUCUGUGGGAGAGCAGCGGCAGCCAAAACGCGCCAGCGUUCACUCUACCCGGAAGUCCCAGAAUGCAACGUAAAGAAUAUGACGUAAAGAAUACAGAGAAUAAUUUUGUUUACAUAUUUAUGAAAAUAAAAUAACAUGAAUUCAAUUUAUGUUAUUGUAUGAAUGUUUAGGCCAGCAGAGAAGGCCUUGCUGGCCCUGAGGGUCCGCCACUGGUCGCCACGGAUCACUACUACCCACUAAUUUCAGUGGGAAAGGGGUAUAAGCAUCAAGAGGAAGUGCAGUGUUGGCUGACUUAAUUGGUCAAUGGGCUGUCACUUUUCUACCUCGGGCACUCAAAGCGCUACACACUGUUAACUCAUUCACCUACUGAUGACGCAGCAUCAGGAGUAACCAGGGAUUUAUUAGCUUCCUCAAGGACACAUUGACAUGGUCGCGAUGGCAGGGGUUUGAACCACCAAUCUCUGGGAUGAGAAAUGAUCACUCUGUCUUCCCUAAUGCUACAUAUACUUUUAGCCAUUUUAACUACCGUAUUUUCACGACUAUUCGACGCAUCGUACUAAUGGCCGCAGUCUCAUUAAUGCGUGACAUUUCUGUAUUUUACACAUACACAGGACGCAUCGUACGAAUAGCCGCAGUUUUACAGUGGUAAAACAUACGCCAGCUUAAACAUACGGCAUGCAUGCGCGCACUCUAACACGUUAGCUUGAAGCAUACGGUAGCAUGCCAAAACAUACAAAUAAGAUAAAAACACGUUUUUAAAAAGGCAACGAAAGCAGAACUGAGUUCGGGUGUAUUUUAUUUAGCCAUCGUACAAUGUUCUCACGUUUUUCAAUCAAUCAUCACCUAGAAAUCCAUCAAAGUCCUCAUCCUCUGUAUCAGAAGCAGAGGACUGCACAUCUCAGUUGUCAUUGAAUGCAUCACAUGCUAGUGUGAGUUGCUACGCAUUGCCGAGCGGAAAGAAGGAGUAGCAACAGCAAAGUCAACAUUUCUCUCGUGUGAAGCUUUCCCACAUUUGAAAGUAAAGAACAGAGCGAAACAUGGUGGCAGCGCGUGUGUGUGUAGAAAGAAUUGAACAAUUGUGCAAGUACCGUAAUCCAUCAAAAACGCCGCGUUCCCUCUCGUUGUUGCGUAUUGUGGCGUAACUCGCCAAGCGCUGCCUCUCACUCUUUGUAAAGUUGUGUUUGCCACCGAUCAUCCAUUGUUCCCAUGCCGUUUGCAACUUUACUUUGAACGCCCGGUUGAUGCCAAUGUCCAGCGGUUGGAGUUCUUUAGUCAAGCCUCCGGGAAUAACGGCAAGCUCAGAAGUUCAUUUGCUUGACUUGGUUUUUCACCGCUGCUGUGAGAUGGGCACGCAUGCCAAAAGCAUAACCGAUGGCUUGAAGUUUGAACUGAGCUUCGUAGGCGUGUCUCUUUGUAGAAUUUAUUUUCGUGGG